AAAUGGCCGUUCCUUUGUCUCUGUUUCUUUUUGCUAAUGAUUUAUUUCUCAUAUUUCUCAUACCGCUCAUUUUCUCCUCUCUCCCUCUCUUCUUGUGAAUAUUUUUGGUGAUUUUUGUCAAGCUUUGUGUGGCAAAAUGUCAACUUCUCAAUAUUUUUCAGUUUUUAUUUAUGACUCCUUUACGAAAGAUGACCUGAAUGAUCUUCGACUUCUUACCCUUUAUAAUAACGUAGGUAUUUUCUUUUUUUUUUCUCGUUAUGCCUUGUAUCUGUAUGUCCCAUGAACGGUAUCUUCAUGGGCAGUAAUUUCAUUUCUCCAUUCUGCACCGAGAUGACUUCAAUCUCAUAUAUGUUGAAUUUCUAUCACGGGACAGGACAACAUUUUCAAACUGAAUACAGCAUCCAAUGCAGACAGGUUAUUUAGUCGUUUACUCUAGGAAGAGUGACAUGCAUGAGAAAUUGCUUGAAAAUAUUAUACAAUCGGGGUCAACCCAUUGAACAACGCUCAUAGAAUGGAAAGGCGGAAUGAUGCAAAUAAACUGGAAACCACACAAUGCACCACCGGCAACCAUCUAAUGGUGAAAUGAUAAGAGAGAACUUUUGAUGGAUUCAAUGGACAACGCAGGAUGAAAAUGGAUUUAGACAAAAGAGAA
rnacentral:sRNA from 1 species